GUCAGUCCCGGCGGCUUAUGAUUGCCGGGACCCUGGGCUAAUAGCGCACUGCCCCGAUCGUUGUUGAUCAAAGUUGAUCGCCGCGUGUAAAACAAAAGUAAAAGCUUCCCGGCAGCUCAGUUGGUCUGAUCGGGUCUAAAAUCGCGAUGUCCCGAUCAGCUAGGACUCGAGCGGAGGUCCCCUUACCUUGCUCCGUCACGUCCGAUCGGCAUUUGAUUGCUCCAUGCCUGAGCUACAGGCUUGAGCAAUCAACCCCCUAUAAUGCUGAUCCAUGCAAAGCUAUGGCUUUGCAGGGAUCAGUGUAAAAGAUCAGUGUGUGCAGUGUUAUAGGUCCCUAUGGGAGCUAUAACAUUGCAAAAAAAAAAGUGAAAAAAAAGUGAAAAAAAGGUCAUUUAACCCCUUCCCUAAUAAAAGUUUGAAUCACCCCCUUUUCCCAUAAAAAAAAAACUGCAUAAAUAAAAAUAAACAUAUGUAGUAUCACCGAGUGCGGGAAUGUCCGAACUAUAAAAAUAUAUUGUUAAUUAAUUAAUUAAUUAAUCCAUUAAACCGCACGGUCAAUGGCGUACGCGCAAAAAAAUUCCAAAGUCCAAAAUAGCCUAUUUUUGGUCACUUUUUAUAUCAUGAAAAAAUUUAUAAAAAACGAUCAAAAAUUCUGAUCAAUAAAAAAAUGGUACCGAUAAAAACGUCAGAUCACAGCACAAAAAAUUAGCCCUCGUACCAGCCCGUACACAGAAAAAUAAAAAAAAGUUAUAGGGGUCAGAAGAUGAGAAUUUUUAACGUAUAAAUUUUCCUGCAUGUAGUUAUGAUUUUUUCCAGAAGUACGACAAAAUCAAACCUAUAUAAGUAGGUUAUCAUUUUAACCAUAUUGACCUACAGAAUAAAGAUAAGGUGUCAUUUUUACCGAAAAAUGCACUGCGUAGAAACGGAAGCCCCCAAAAGUUACAAAAUGAAAUUUUUUGUUCAAUUUUGUCGCACAAUGAUUUUUUUUUUCCGUCUCGUCAUGGAUGUUUUGGUAAAAUGACUAAUGUCACUGGAAAUUAUAAUUGGUGGCACAAAAAAUAAGCCAUCAUUUGGAAUUUUAUGUGCAAAAUUGAAAGCGUUAUGAUUUUUAGAAGGUGAUGAGGAAAAAAUGAAAAUGCAAAAACAGAAAAACGUGAGUCCUUAAGGGGUUAAGAUUACUCCACUUCAUCUCCCAUAACUGCUACCCCAAAACAUGAGACUCUGUCCCAUCCUUCAAACUUUAAAAGACAACCAGAAAACCUCUCUCUUUAGAAAACCAGUCUUUGCUGUGAAUCUGUAUAAGCAGCUUGCAACCCUCAUUUACUGUCUAUUUCCCUUGUAGCAUCUAAGAAUUAGUGGGUAGGGUAUCCAAUUUUUCUGGGCAGAGCCCUCUUUUUCUUUUGUGCUAAUCUGUCACUCAGUAAACAUAUACCACCAAUUGUAUUUACUGCUCAACUGAUCCAAUCUUAGAAGUUGGUCGACACCAGUAGGGGAGAAUAGGAAUUAGUAUUUGGGAGUUUUGGGAGAUUUUAGAUUAACUGAAGAAUAACUUCUCUCCAUUUGAUAGCCUAUGUCAUUUGUAACAUUUUUGGAUAUCACAUUGUUUACCUUAACAUGACACCUCACCCAAGAAAGUAGCCCUAUAGUUUUGGCCACUAAGUGUUUAACUUCCCUGCAAUCUGCUAUAUACUGCCUGUCAUUAGUAGUGUUGAGCAGCAUAGGCCAUAUUCGAAUUUGCGAUAUUUCGCGAAUAUAUGGACGAAUAUUCGUCAUAUAUUCGCUAAAUUCGCAUAUUCGUAAUAUUCACGGUUUAUUUUCGCAUAUGCGAAAAUUGAAAUAUACAAAAAUUAGCAUAUGCGAAAAAUUAGCAUAGGCGAAAAUUUGCAUAGGCGAAAAUUUGCAUAGGCGACAAGUUGCACGCCAGUCUCACACAGUAGUAUUAGAGCCUUCUUUACACCACACAAGCUGGAAGAAGAGAGGGAUGAUCACUGUGAUGUGUACUGUGAAAAAAAAUAAAUUAUAAUAUUCGUAAUUACAAAUAUAUAGUGCUGUAUUCGCGAAUAUUCGCGAAUUCGCGAAUAUGCAAUAUUCGUGAAUAAAAUUCGCAUUGAGAAUAUUCGGGAGCAACACUAGUGAUCUCCCCCAUUGAGCCUGCCAGAGCCGCAGUGAUCUGUGUAAGAAACCUAUGGGCCCAGGCUGUUAGGGUCACCAAAUGAUAUUACAAAUACUGAGUGUCUGGUUAGGAGAAACAAAUAUAAUGUACCCACAGGGAGUGAGCCAUUUUUAUAAAAAAUUGACAAAUAUUCCCUAAGAUAAGUCAUGCAGAAUAUGUUAAAAAGCUUUUUGGAUUUUCAGCCAAUCAGAAAGCAGCACUACUCAAAUAGAACUCCCGUGAGGUCACACAUGUGAUGUCAUAACCAUUGUCAUUGGUGAGGGGCCUAAACUGUAGGAACCUAGGAAUACACAUUCAUACCCGCCUGUGACUGAUGCACACCUUCCAGGCUGUGGGGCAGCACAUACACGGACACAUUGGCCCAAAUUCUAGAGGUAACCUCCUUUAGUAUGCCCAGAGGAAGGGCAGUACAGUAGCCAUGGAUUCCCUACAGGUUUCCUCCCCUCUGGAGGUUUUUCCUGUCCUGAGUUAGUUACUGUCCGCUCUUUGUGAGUGAUGGAGGUUACAUAAAAUCCCUACACAAACAUUUUACUAAAUAAUAAAUAAAGUUCCCCUUUGUUUAAACUGUU